GUCUGAACAAGCCGACCCCGAGCCGACCACCUGUCUGCAUUUUCCAGAAGCGUGAGAGGACGACAAAUUUGCUCAUACAGGGAUGGAUUUCUUGCAGUGCCGAUUUUGCAAAUUCACAAGCUCCAGUCAAGAGGUUCUUCUGAAACAUUUUCGACUUCAUCACAGGCAAGACAUCCGACAUUGUGUCCCACCGAAAGACAGCAGCACUGAGAGGCCUGCCCAUUUUCCUCCGAGAAGAUCCAACAAAGGUUUUCCUGAAGUUCCUAGACAGUGACAUUUUGGAACCACCGCUGGAAGGUGCAUCUGUUGCCAUUCUCACCGUCAUGCAAGACGAUGCCGGUAUAUCUGUGCGAGACCACGCAGUCGUGCUGGAAGUUGGACAUUGUGCUACAUAACAUUUCAGACCUUGCUACUGCCUUGGCUUACCUCUUUGGCCUUCUGUAUGCCCUCAACAUCGACUACCCAAAGCAAAUGAGGUAUACAUUUGAAGCAAUUCAGACCAUCUUUUUCGAGCUUGGUUGCUCUCUAUGCUCACAGCGCACAAGGUCUCUGAAAACAAAGCUUUUGCUUUGAAUGACUUGUGCCGAACUUAUGUUCUUUUGUCUGUUCAAGUGCAUUGUAGUAAAAAGAAAAUGUGUUGCAUAUUGUUUCAACUGUUAAAAUGCACCAUUGUUCAAGUAAAACUGUAAUAUAUGUAUAUGCAAAAAAGAAAGAGAACUGGCAUGAGGAUGAGUAGGUGUAGGUUGAACCUCCUGUUGUCUCUGGGUCAAAGAAAGAAGAGAGUACAGAGUAAGAAGGAAGGAAAGGAGGAUGGAGCGGAAGAAGAAAGGAGGUUAAGAAAGAAGGAAGGAGAGAGGGAGAAAGGAAAAGAGGAAGGACUGACGAGGAAGGAUGGGCUUAGGAAGGAAAGGAGGGAGGGAGCAAAGGGGGAUGGAGGGGAAGAAGGUAUAUAGGAAAAAGGAAGGAGGGGAAGAAGGUAUGUAGGAAAAGGAAGGAUGGAGGGGAAGAAAGGAAAGGGACAGAGGGGAAGGAGGAAGGAAGUAAAGGAGUGUGAGGAAAGAAGGAAGGAACAAAACAGAUUGGAUCAAUUUGACCUGGGAGGACAAUAUGCGGUUUAAGUGGGUAAUUCAUCAUUAGAAAUGUCAAAUUCUGUCAGAAGAAUUUCUGUUGUGGACACUAUAUGGUGAGAUUUUAUCUUGCAUUUUAUUUUAUCUUGCAUUUUACUUCAUCUUGCAUUUUAUUUUAUAAGUAUUUUAUUUGUUGAAGUGUCAUCCA